CUUAAACAUGCAAGUCGAACGGCAGCAUAGAGAGCUUGCUCUCUGAUGGCGAGUGGCGAACGGGUGAGUAACACGUGGGUUACCUGCCCUGAAGCGGGGGACAACCACUGGAAACGGUGGCUAAUACCCCAUAGUCCGGUAACGGUAAAGGAUCUUUUGAUUCGCUUCAGGAUGGGCCUGCGGGCUAUUAGUUUGUUGGUAGGGUAAUGGCCUACCAAGGCGACGACGGCUAUCCGACCUGAGAGGGUGAUCGGUCACACUGGCACUGAGACACGGGCCAGACUCCUACGGGAGGCAGCAGUUAAGAAUAUUGCGCAAUGGGGGCAACCCUGACGCAGCCACGCCGCGUGGGCGAUGAAGGCCUUCGGGUUGUAAACUCCGGUAAAGUGGGACGAAUAAGCGUAUAUAGGCCAUGUGAUGACGGUACCAUCCUGAAGCCCCGGCUAAUUACGUGCCAGCAGCCGCGGUAAUACGUAUGGGGCAAGCGUUGUUCGGAUUUAUUGGGCGUAAAGGGCACGCAGGCGGACUGAUAAGUUGGAUGUAUAAUCUCCAGGCUCAACCUGGACUCUGCAUCCAAAACUGCCAGUCUAGAGUAUUAGAGGGGAAAGCGGAAUUCUCAGUGUAGCGGUGGAAUGCGUAGAUAUCGAGAGGAACACCAGUGGCGAAGGCGGCUUUCUGGCUGUAUACUGACGCUCAUGUGCGAAAGCGUGGGGAGCAAACAGGAUUAGAUACCCUGGUAGUCCACGCCGUAAACGUUGUGUACUAGGUGUCGGGGGUUUCAACGCCCUCGGUGCCGCAGCUAACGUAUUAAGUACACCGCCUGGGGAGUAUGCCCGCAAGGGUGAAACUCAAAGGAAUUGACGGGGGCCCGCACAAGCGGUGGAGCAUGUGGUUUAAUUCGACGAUACGCGAAGAACCUUACCCGGGCUUGACAUCUAGUGGAUAGGCGCAGAGAUGCGCCCUCCUUUUCAGGCUGCCAUACAGGUGUUGCAUGGUCGUCGUCAGCUCGUGUCGUGAGAUGUUGGGUUAAGUCCCGCAACGAGCGCAACCCCUACCUCCUGUUGCUACCAGGUAAUGCUGGGCACUCUGAAGGUACCGCCGGUGACAAACCGGAGGAAGGUGAGGAUGACGUCAAAUCCGCAUGGCCCUUACGUCCGGGGCUACACACGUGCUACAAUGGCCGGUACAAAGGGCAGCGAAGCCGCGAGGUGGAGCAAAUCUCAAAAAGCCGGUCUCAGUUCGGAUUGCAGUCUGCAACUCGACUGCAUGAAGUCGGAAUCGCUAGUAAUCGUGGAUCAGCAAUGUCGCGGUGAAACGUUCCCGGGCCUUGUACACACCGCCCGCCACACCACCCGAGUUGGAGGCACCCGAAGGGGCUGUGCUAACC
rnacentral:rRNA from 1 species